rnacentral:rRNA from 1 species
CUACUAUGUUCAGAGUUUGAUCCUGGCUCAGGACGAACGCUGGCGGCGUGCCUAACACAUGCAAGUCGAACGGAGUUGUUCCUUCGGGGGACAACUUAGUGGCGAACGGGUGAGUAACGCGUGAGGAACCUGCCUUUCAGUGGGGGACAACAGUUGGAAACGACUGCUAAUACCGCAUAACAUGUACGGAUCGCAUGGUCUGUACAUCAAAGCUUUAUGUGCUGAAAGAUGGCCUCGCGUCUGAUUAGCUAGUUGGUGAGGUAACGGCUCACCAAGGCGACGAUCAGUAGCCGGUCUGAGAGGAUGAACGGCCACAUUGGGACUGAGAUACGGCCCAG